UACGUAGGCAGCAAGCGUUGUUCGGAGUUACUGGGCGUAAAGGGUGCGUAGGCGGGUCUUUAAGUCAGGGGUGAAAUCCUGGAGCUCAACUCCAGAACUGCCUUUGAUACUGGGAGCUUGAGUCCGGGAGAGGUGAGUGGAACUCCGAGUGUAGAGGUGAAAUUCGUAGAUAUUCGGAAGAACACCAGUGGCGAAGGCGGCUCACUGGCCCGGUACUGACGCUGAGGUGCGAAAGCGUGGGGAGCAAACAGG
rnacentral:rRNA from 1 species